rnacentral:rRNA from 1 species
CCUACGGGGGGCAGCAGUGGGGGAUAUUGCACAAUGGGGGGAACCCUGAUGCAGCGACGCCGCGUGGGGGAAGAAGCGCCUCGGCGCGUAAAGCCCUGUCAGCAGGGAAGAAAAGGACGGUACCUGAAGAAGAAGCCCUGGCUAAUAACGUGCCAGCAGCCGCGGGAAUACGGAGGGGGCAAGCGUUAUACGGAUUGACGGGGUGGAAAGGGGGCGCAGACGGCGAUGCAAGCCAGGAGUGAAAGCGCGGGGCCCAACCCCGGGACUGCUCUUGGAACUGCGUGGCUGGAGUGCGGGAGGGGCAGGCGGAAUUCCUGGUGUAGCGGUGAAAUGCGUAGAUAUCAGGAGGAACACCGGUGGCGAAGGCGACCUGCUGGACUGCAACUGACGUUGAGGCCCGAAAGCGUGGGGAGCAAACAGGAUUAGAUACCCCUGUAGUC